rnacentral:pre_miRNA from 1 species
AUUAUACUCCCUCCAUCCUAAAAUUCUUGUCUUAGAAUUGUCUAGAUACGGAUGUACCUAAUACUAAAACGUGACUUGAUACAUCCGUAUUUAGAUAAAUUUAAGACAAGAAUUUUGAGACGGAGGGAGUACAUU